rnacentral:rRNA from 1 species
GACGAACGCUGGCGGCGUGCUUAACACAUGCAAGUCGAACGGAAAGGCCCCUUCGGGGGUGCUCGAGUGGCGAACGGGUGAGUAACACGUGGGUGAUCUGCCCUGCACUUUGGGAUAAGCCUGGGAAACUGGGUCUAAUACCGAAUAUUCCUUGCUGGUCGCAUGGCCUGGUGAGGGAAAGCUUGUGCGGUGUGGGUUGGGCCCGCGGCCUAUCAGCUUGUUGGUGGGGUGAUGGCCUACCAAGGGGACGACGGGUAGCCGGCCUGCGAGGGUGUCCGGCCACACUGGGACUGAGAUACGGCCCAGACUCCUACGGGAGGCAGCAGUGGGGAAUAUUGCACAAUGGGCGCAAGCCUGAUGCAGCGACGCCGCGUGAGGGAUGACGGCCUUCGGGUUGUAAACCUCUUUCAAUAGGGACGAAGCGCAAGUGACGGUACCUAUAGAAGAAGCACCGGCCAACUACGUGCCAGCAGCCGCCGUAA